GACGAACGCUGGCGGCGUGCUUAACACAUGCAAGUCGAACGGAAAGGCCGUAGCUUGCUUCGGUACUCGAGUGGCGAACGGGUGAGUAACACGUGGGUGAUCUGCCCUGUACUUCGGGGUAAGCUUGGGAAACUGGGUCUAAUACCGGAUAUGACGUCCUCUUGGAUGGGGUUGGGGAGAGAUUUUGCGCUGUGGGGUGUGCUCGCGGGGUUUCAGAUUUUUGGGGUGGUAUUGGGCUACCACGGCGUCGUCGGGUAGCCGGCCCGUGAGAGUGUACGGGCACAUUUGGGCUGAGAGACACCCCAGACUCCUACAGGGGGCAGCAGUGGGGAAUAUUUCGCAAUGGGGGCAAGCGUGAGGCAGCGAAGCCGCGUGUGGGAGGACGGCCUUCGGGUGGUAAACACCUCUCGCAAUCGACGCAGCCUGUUGGUGACGGUAGGUGGAGAAGAAGCACCGGCUAACUACGUG
rnacentral:rRNA from 1 species